UACAGAGGAUGCAAGCGUUAUCCGGAAUGAUUGGGCGUAAAGCGUCUGUAGGUGGCUUUUUAAGUCCGCCGUCAAAUCCCAGGGCUCAACUCUGGACAGGCGGUGGAAACUACCAAGCUGGAGUACGGUAGGGGCAGAGGGAAUUUCCGGUGGAGCGGUGAAAUGCGUAGAGUAUCGCUUGGAACGCCAAAGGUGAAAACAGGUUGC
rnacentral:rRNA from 1 species